AGAGGGGGCCAGCGUUAUUCGGAAUUAUUGGGCGUAAAGGGCGCGUAGGCGGCCAUGCGUGUCUUCCGUGAAAUCCCUCGGCUCAACCGAGGACGUGCGGAAGAAACUGCAAGGCUCGAGUCCGGAAGAGGGGGGCGGAAUUCCCAGUGUAGCGGUGAAAUGCGUAGAUAUUGGGAGGAACACCAGUGGCGAAGGCGGUCCCCUGGGCCGGAACUGACGCUGAGGCGCGAAAGCGUGGGUAGCAAACGGGAUUAGAUACCCCGGUAGUCCACGCCGUAAACGAUGGGCACUUGGUGUCGCGGGUAUCGACCCCUGCGGUGCCGAAGCUAACGCAUUAAGUGCCCCGCCUGGGGAGUACGGCCGCAAGGCUG
rnacentral:rRNA from 1 species